rnacentral:rRNA from 1 species
GACGAACGCUGGCGGCGUGCCUAACACAUGCAAGUCGAGCGAGAUCCAUCCAGUGGCAACACUGGUGAAGAUCUAGCGGCGAACGGGUGAGUAACACGUGAGAAACCUGCCCCGGAGACCGGGAUAACCCGAGGAAACUCGGGCUAAUACCGGAUACCCCCACCGAACCGCAUGAUUUGGUGAGGGGAUGCUCCGACGCUCCGGGAGGGUCUCGGGGCCUAUCAGCUCGUUGGUGAGGUAACGGCUCACCAAGGCUAAGACGGGUAGCUGGUCUGAGAGGACGAUCAGCCACUCUGGGACUGGGACACGGCCCGGACUCCUACGGGGGGCAGCAGUGGGUAAUCUUGCGCAAUGGGCGAAAGCCUGACGCAGCAACGCCGCGUGGGGGAUGAAGGCUCUCGGGUUGUAAACCCCUUUCAGGAGGGACGAAAAUGACGGUACCUCCAGAAGAAGCCCCGGCCAACUGCGUGCCAGCAGCCGCCGUAA